UGUUGUGGCUCAGUGGUAGAGCACUCACCUAGAUAGUGUGAGGCACUGGGUUCAAUCCUCAGCACCACAU
rfam:Ictidomys tridecemlineatus contig029356, whole genome shotgun sequence.